UGUUGCUUAGUUACGAAUUUGACAAAUUUAUUUAAAUCAGUCAAGUAUUGGCAGUCAAUUUUUACACCCGACUUUUUAUUAAAGAAACUAUAAUGUCUGGUUACAAGGGAAAUAAACAAGUUAAUGAUACAGUAGUCUGCAAAAAAUCAAAAAAGUUAACCAAAAAGCGUGUGUUCAUUAAGAUAUGGAAGUUCGCAGUUAAUUUCUGCGACAUUUUAGGCUUGUUGGAUAUAUUACCCUGUGGUACUAUACAUUCAAUUAAGCCCUACAUCAACUAUGGCAUUUCUAUUAAAAUACGUUAAUAUUUAAUACAUAAUAUUUUACUGUAUGUAAUAAAGUUCCAUUUGAA